GUGUCAAGGAUUGGAAAGCUCUGAAACGCAUAGCGCGGUAUUUGAAAGGCACUAUGCAUUACAGACUGAGAUUUAACAAUCAGAAGUCUGGUGGUCUUGAGAUAUUUGCAGAUGCAAGUUUUGGAAGUGACACUACAGACAGGAAAAGUACGUCUGGAGUUUGCUAUAUGUACAAUCAGAGUCUGUUUGAUUGGUCAUGCAAGAAGCAAACAACAGUUAGCUUAAGUACUUGUGAAGCUGAACUGAAUGCACUGUCUUAUUCACUUAAGGAUUGUGAAUGGUUAGUACAAUUGUGCAAAGAUAUGAAAAUUCCUGUCAAAUGUCCAAUCCAGGUUUACCAGGACAACAAAGCAUGUUUGGCUUUGCUGAAGUCUGAAGGUUGUAAGCAAAGCACAAAGCACUUGCAAUUAAAGUUGCAGCAUGCUAGGGAAUGUAUUCAGAAGGGACUCGUAACGGUGUCCUAUAUGCCAGGUAAUGAAAUUCCUGCUGAUGUAUUGUCCAAGAUUGUAUCAAGGGAUCAACACUGUACCUAUGUGCAGAAGUUGGGUUUGUACUGAUAUUGUACGAACACGCUGCCCAGUGAUGUUCACAGAAAGGGGGAGGAUGUUGGUUUCUGAUUUCCCUCACUGAGCAGCAACUGCAGUCACAAGACAUUGUUUUGCAUUCCACAGUCUGUACUGUUGGAGUUUCUCACGGGAAAGGGAGACUGGAUGUGACGUACACUGGUUUCCUGUUUUUCACUGUGAUUCUCUCCGAGCUGUUGAGGAGAGAGGAUGCAUUUUCUGCUCCUGCAGAGGCAAGAUGUCUUUCUGUAAUAUACCAGCUUUGAACUGUAAAUAAAGCAAUAUAGAGUAUGUAGCACGUAUUCUUCAUCCUUCCGCUGGCCACGACAGACUCUGCUUUAAAUCAACAG